rnacentral:lncRNA from 10 species
GUAGGCUCCAAGAGGACUUGGAAAAUUCAUGAUCCUAAUAAAACAAGUUCUUCCCUAGAAACAACUGUCAGCCACUUUCCAGUAGAAGAGAGAGAGACACAGCAGUGUUGCUCCCCGGCAGAUGCUGGCCACACAUGCCGUUCACAGCCCAGAGAUAAGCAAAGGUCAUGCGCACGAAUGAGUCUGUGCUAGUAUGGUUUCAAGCUGGCGAGGAAGAGCUCACGGUGCUUACCCAUGCAGUUCUUCAUCAUCAUGAAGCCACUUUCAUAGCCUUCGAAGCACUCGCACUCAAAGCUGCCCGGUGUAUUGACGCAGAUUCCACUGCCACAGAGAAUGGGUAAUUUGGAGGGUGUGGCUUUUGAAUUGGUUCUUGAAGGUUGUACAGAAAUGCUAGCUUUAAAGAUACAGAAUAGAGAGGCAAGAGAUGAAGCGCACCGGUGAAGAGAAAGGAAGCAUUUCAGGGAGCAGUAAGCCACAGAUUGGCUGGACUGGAGAGGCUGACAAUGAGUGUGGGUACAGGACGGACCGGUAGGAUUACUAAAAGCCCCCAGCAUGGGAGGAGACCGGCCCUUCCUGCUGUGAAGAUGAGAGCCAACAAUUUUCCACAGAACUUCACAGUAUAUCCAGAGCAAUGCAGCCCUGUCAAUGUGUUAGAGACAUUAAGCAACUUUGGCUAAUUUCACAACAAAGGAAGAGGUGGGGUCAGAACUGGAAGAACCCUGAGCUUCUUUAUCCAGCACCAGGAUUGCCUAUACCAGUGGAAGUUGUUCAGUGGGAAGUUACACAAUCCAGCCCUGCUUGGAUGGUUAACCUGGGUUGUGGCAGUGAAGGAUUUGACCGUGGGAACUUAACAGGUUGGGAGAUCCUGGAGGAGUCUGUGAUACAGUAGAUACUGUGACAUGUCACCCAGGUCCCUCUUCAGGAAAGAAGGACUUACUCCCCCUCCCCGUCAGCUAUUGGUAGUGUCGCUGGCAGAAAGCCCUCAGAUGCCCACUAUUCUAAGAGGACCUCUUCCCCCAUUCCCUGGGCAGCUGUAUCCCAAGAUUGGUCCUGCAGGUACCUAACUGCAUGGCUUCCAUGCCCUACUCAAGGCAACUCUGAUGGGCCAUCCCAGUUCCAGAACUCCCAGUGGCAUGGGCUGAGGACUUCAGUGGGACUGCAUCAUAGCCCCAUUUCUUUCUCUGCCCACUUCUGCUUUCCUCCCUUCCCUUCCUCAUUGUUCAUCCCAGGAGCAAGCCCCGAUAAACUUCCUGAAUGCUCUUCUCUGCCUUGGAGUCUGUUUCCUGAGGAGCUUAACCUGCCUCUGUCUGAAGAAAUAUCACAGGGGAUUUAUACUCUUGGGACAGAACAUUGGUCACAAAACCUAAGUUUAACUGAGAAAAUAAAGUGGGAAGUCAAACAUUUAAAGCAAAACCAAUUCUCAGAGAAUGUGGAAGGCUUCCUGUUGGUGAAGAAGGACCAAGGCGCUGGCCGCAGGCAGUUACCUUUGUAAAAUGGCCGCCCAGUAAGAACAUCCCCUCGGUUAGCAAAGCCAGCCCCGCGGGGGCACAGCGUCUCGUAUUCCUUGGUGCCAGGUUUGGGGCACUCCUCACACUCGGUGCCCCAAGCCGCCCCGACAGCACAGCAGCAGGCAUCCAUGCGGAACUUUCCAGGAACGGGGUGGAUGCAUUCAUCUUCAUCCCACUUCAAGUAACACUGCUCCAUGCGAAUAUCUACACCGAGAACGAAAUCACAGGGUGAGAAUGAGUUGAAACAUCCAUUGAACAGUCACAUGUCAAGCGUCUGCUCAGCACCAGGCAUCAUGCAGGACCCUUGCGGUGUACUGGUGGGCAAGAUGCAGUCCCUGACCUCCUGGAAUGGACUCCAUAAUGACAGUCAUUUAAGGAGAACAAAGGUGAGAUCCUCUUCAGUCUUAAUUCUCACAAGAAACCCUCAGGAAGAAAAGGUCCUCUCAUGAGAUGACUGCUUCAUGUCUAUUACUCCUUUUUUGUAUUGUUCACUUUAGAAAAGGUAAGAUAAUUUUAAUGAUAAUUCUUCCUGUUCAGAGAAUUGCUUCAAGUGCCUUUUAAGCAGCCCUGUCAGAUCCCAUUCAUAAACAGUAAAUGAUCGGCUAUAAUCUAUUUGCCAAUUUGUUACAACUAUUAAGAUCACUACAAAAGAAAGUGUUAUAAUAUUAUUACAUUUAAAGUUUUUUUUUUUCUCCUGCCAACUUUACCUUUUGCAUCAUGGUUUUUCCCUGGAUUAUGUGAAUUUUCCGUUUUAAGGGACCAAUUAUUUGUUUAAAUGUCACAUUUUCCCUCCAACUUCAAAACAGACCAACAUUUCAGUGCUUAGCCUGUGCUAGCCAGGACCUUAGAAUAUCUAUAAACAGUCGCCUACAUCUAAAAAUAGAGUAGACCAGAAUGGUCUAUAAAUAACAUGUUCAUCUGUUAGCAAAUAGAUUUAUUUUCAAAUCAUACUAAAGCACUUGGCUGUUUAAUUACAAAUAUGGAUAAUGAGUUUGGAAACGGUUCCUUAAUCAAAUAGCAUGAUUUCUUUGAUAAGAACAUUUUAAGACAUUAAAUCCUUUCCAGAAGCUGAAAACUGUCUAACGGAGGGAAUGAGAUCCCUGAUGGAAAUGUACACAUAAAAAUUAAUGUUUACUACUUUAGUUACUGUCAAUAUUGAUUCUUUCAAGUUCUAAAAGGUAAUGAGUUACAUUUCUGAGUACUGGAAUUAAAAAGUUCUAUUUUUUUUCUUUCUUUCUUUCUUUUGAGAUGGAGUCUCACUCUGUUGCCCAGACCAGGUGUGGCGUGGUGGCUCAUGCUUAUAAUUUCAGCACUUUGGGAGACUGAGGCAGCUGGAUCACCUGAGGUCAGGAGUUCGAGACCAGCCUGGCCAACAUGGCGAAAACCCAUCUCUACUAAAAAUACAAAAAUUAGCUGGGCAUGGUGCUGGGUACCUGUAAUCCCAGCUACCUGAGAAAAAGUCCUAUUUUUAAGGAAAAAAUAACUGUGGUAAAUGUUUAUUUUGAUUCAGCAGACUGAAUGUAGAUAUCUACAGAAGGUGAUUCUGUCUUAUAUAUCUACAUUAACACAAACCAAAAAGCCACAUGCUUUGCCAGUGUGAAGUGUGAUAGUAAUCCAGCGUCUCAUUAUCACAGGGCUCUGAGGGGCUAGUCUCCUUAUAGCUGGUUCCGUCCCAUAUGUCAGCAGCUAAGUAAGAAUCUUCUCAAGAUGUGAAAGUCUUAUAUAAGUACAGGUGGCCUAAGAACUCUGGCCUGAGUCAUACUGUGAGGUUACUGAAGAAACCUGCUCAAGAAGCUCAAGACAAACUAAAAAUGUACCAUUUCAUAGCUUAUUGGAAUAAACUAGGGUGAGAGGGGAAAGGCAUCUGAACUAUGCAUGUAAAAAGUUAUAACAGCCAGGAAGAGCAAUCCUGUCUUUAAUACUGAGACCUCUAUGGAUGUUUAUAUCGGCAAUUAAAAGUCAGCACACUACUGAGAACUCUAUAUUUAUAUCAGGAAUUAAACGUCAGUACACUGGCCACAUAAGGCCUAUCAAUGCUGCGAUUGUCCUUGCAUGGAAAUUAAAAUAUGAAUUUGGAAACCUUUGGAUGGUCCAUGUUCUCUGAAGUUUGCUGCAGUCCCCACUGCUCCCUGUUGUCGCGUCACUCAUUUAUAUGUUACAUGCUUGGCUCCUGCAAGCAUCUGAGUUUGGGAUCCCUGAUUCAGAUGAGGUUCUAUCAGAGCAUUUACCAAAACUUUAGUUCUCAGAAUACUUUACAUUUUCAUGUGCCAGUUGCUUCUUGAAACUUUCUCACAUCCCCAGACAGAAUUAAUUAAUAUAGCAUAAUUCAAGUGGUGACAAAAGCAUUUAAGCAAAGUACAAGGAUGAAGAAUCCAAUAUAUCAUCUUAGAAUAUUAAAAAAUGCUUUUUUUUUUUUGAGACAGAGCCUCACUCUGUUGCCAAGGCUAGGGUAUAGUGGUGCGACCUCGGCUCACUGCAAUCUCCACUUCCCAGGUUCAAGCGAUUCUCCUGCUUCAGUCCCUCGAGUAGCUGGGAUUACAGGCAUGCAUCACCAUGCCCAGCUAAUUUUUAUAUUUUUAGUAGAGACGGGGAGGGGGGGGUUCCCCAUGUUGCCCAGGCUGGUCUUGAACUCCUGACCUCAGGUGAUCCACCUGUCUCAGCCUCCCAAAGUGCUGGGAUUACAGGCGUAAGCCACCACUCCCAGCCAUAAUUUUGAAUAAUGUUAUUGAAAAUUUAUUUUGCUGAGUAAUAAUUUACAAUCAAUGAUAUAUCUUCAUAUAUUAUAGCAUUUCAUUAUAGAAGGUAACUUGAUUUCAUUAGUCAUUUGGCCAUACUGAUAUUAUUAUUUUUGACAUUUUCUUUUUUUAAAAUUUCGAUAGUUUUGGGGGAAUAUUUUGUCAUUUUCAAAUGAUACUUAUUUCUAAACAUUGUAGAUCACUUAAAGAUAAUUUUUAAAAUAUUUAAAAAUCUGAAAGACAUUUUCUUUAUUUUUGUACUUUGGAUAUUAUGUUUUCUAAAUAAUUUUGUAUGAUUUUACAGUCAUGCUUCCAAUCCAGAUUUAAAUGUGCUAUCAAAAACUGAGUUAAAAAUGAAAUCUGUUUUAAUUAUAAUAACUGUAUGGUAUUGCAAACUUUUUUCUUACAGUAAAUUUUAAAAAUCACUGAUAUGUAAAUACUUUAAAGGUGAUUGCAUACACCACCACUAUUAUUUAUGCUUUGUCUACAUGUCUAAAUUUCAAAUACAAAUCUAUGUAAAGUUCUUUUAUAAACUAAAAAUUUACUGUUCCAUAGCUUAUUGGGGGAAAAAAAAUCUCUGUAGGUAAAUGAAAAAUUAUUGUUACAUACAAUGAAAAUUAAUAGAAAUUUCUUUUUCAAUCAUGAAAUUCAAGUUCAAACAUGACACUAAUAAAGAAAAA